CAAUUUCUGACCAAGGAGAUGGAAGAUAUGAGAAGCAUAUGACAGUUUGGUUUGCAACAAGAUAAGGAGGGUAGUUACUACUAAAUAUUUUUCAGUGUAUGUAUUUUUAAAAACGUUAAACUUUCCGAUGCACUUGAUGUAAACACGUUUUUUCGAAUAAAUUUUACAUUCUAUUCAAAAAAAAAAUUUCAAUUUCUGAUCAUGGGCUGACCAUUGGACAAGUUUUCAGACCAUGUCCAUUAAGGACCAACAAUUAAAACCCAUGAAAAAUAAUGGUCCAAGUGGACAUGACCGUUGGGUUUUAGACAGUCCAAUUGACACUUCUACAUAUAUGUAUGUAUCUAAAUGGGGUUCCAACUCGAAACUCAUUAUCAAUAAGUGGAUUGGUUUAUGUCUCUUAUAUACUGUUCAAGUCUCUUCUUUUCUUCCCAGCAUUCCAAUGUGAGA
rnacentral:sRNA from 1 species